rnacentral:rRNA from 1 species
UGCAUAUCCAAAAAGCGGAGGAAAAGAAACCAACAGGGAUUGCCUUAGUAGCGGCGAGUGAAGCGGCAAAAGCUCAAAUUUGAAAUCUGGCGCCUUCGGUGUCCGAGUUGUAAUUUGAAGAUUGUAACCUUGGGGUUGGCUCUUGUCUAUGUUUCUUGGAACAGGACGUCACAGAGGGUGAGAAUCCCGUGCGAUGAGAUGCCCAAUUCUAUGUAAGGUGCUUUCGAAGAGUCGAGUUGUUUGGGAAUGCAGCUCUAAGUGGGUGGUAAAUUCCAUCUAAAGCUAAAUAUUGGCGAGAGCCGAUAGCGAACAAGUACAGUGAUGGAAAGAUGAAAAGAACUUUGAAAAGAGAGUGAAAAAGUACGUGAAAUUGUUGAAAGGGAAGGGUUUGAGAUCAGACUCGAUAUUUUGUGAGCCUUGCCUUCGUGGCGGGGUGACCCGCAGCUUAUCGGGCCAGCAUCGGUUUGGGCGGUAGGAUAAUGGCGUAGGAAUGUGACUUUACUUCGGUGAAGUGUUAUAGCCUGCGUUGAUGCUGCCUGCCUAGACCGAGGACUGCGAUUUUAUCAAGGAUGCUGGCAUAAUGAUCCCAAACCGCCCGUCUUGAACACGGGACCA